rnacentral:rRNA from 1 species
UACGUAGGGGGCGAGCGUUAUCCGGAAUUACUGGGCGUAAAGCGCACGCAGGCGGUUCGCCAAGUUUGGAGUGACAGUUGUCGGCUCAACCGACAAAGGACUUCAAAAACUGGUGAACUUGAGGACGAGAGAGGAACAUGGAACUCCAGGUGUAGUAGUGAAAUGCGCAGAUAUCAGGAGGAACACCGGUGGCGAAGGCGGGUCUCAGGGCAGUAACUGACGCUGAGGAGCGAAAGCGUGGGGAGCGAACAGG